rnacentral:misc_RNA from 1 species
GUGAAUCAUCGAAUUUUUGAACGCAAAUUGCACUCUCUUCGGAGAGUAUGCCUGUUUGAGGGUCAGUAUUAAUAAAAAUCGGUUUGUUGCUUCUUGGUGACGCUCCGGAUUUUGGGUCAGCUUAAUAUCCUUUAGGUUUUAAGAGGCUUAAAAUUGACUUUUUUUGCGCUUUAUAUAUGUACAUAAAUUCUUUUUUUUAUUAGUUUUGCUUAAUGCUCAAACACCUAUUAUAUGCGACCAUAC